rnacentral:rRNA from 1 species
GAGUUUGAUCCUGGCUCAGAACGAACGCUGGCGGCAGGCUUAACACAUGCAAGUCGAACGCAUCGCAAGAUGAGUGGCAGACGGGUGAGUAACGCGUGGGAACAUAACCCUUUUCUACGGAAUAGCUCUGGGAAACUGGAAUUAAUACCGUAUACGCCCUACGGGGGAAAGAUUUAUCGGGGAAGGAUUGGCCCGCGUUGGAUUAGCUAGUUGGUGGGGUAAAGGCCUACCAAGGCGACGAUCCAUAGCUGGUCUGAGAGGAUGAUCAGCCACAUUGGGACUGAGACACGGCCCAAACUCCUACGGGAGGCAGCAGUGGGGAAUAUUGGACAAUGGGCGCAAGCCUGAUCCAGCCAUGCCGCGUGAGUGAUGAAGGCCUUAGGGUUGUAAAGCUCUUUCACCGAUGAAGAUAAUGACGGUAGUCGGAGAAGGAGCCCCGGCUAACUUCGUG